rnacentral:rRNA from 1 species
AGUGAACGCUGGCGGUAGGCCUAACACAUGCAAGUCGAACGGCAGCACAGUAAGAGCUUGCUCUUACGGGUGGCGAGUGGCGGACGGGUGAGGAAUACAUCGGAAUCUACUUUUUCGUGGGGGAUAACGUAGGGAAACUUACGCUAAUACCGCAUACGACCUACGGGUGAAAGCAGGGGAUCUUCGGACCUUGCGCGAUUGAAUGAGCCGAUGUCGGAUUAGCUAGUUGGCGGGGUAAAGGCCCACCAAGGCGACGAUCCGUAGCUGGUCUGAGAGGAUGAUCAGCCACACUGGAACUGAGACACGGUCCAGACUCCUACGGGAGGCAGCAGUGGGGAAUAUUGGACAAUGGGCGCAAGCCUGAUCCAGCCAUACCGCGUGGGUGAAGAAGGCCUUCGGGUUGUAAAGCCCUUUUGUUGGGAAAGAAAACCAGCAGGUUAAUACCCCGCUGUUCUGACGGUACCCAAAGAAUAAGCACCGGCUAACUUCGU